GGAUGCGAUCAUAGCAGCACUAAAGAACCGGAUCCCAUCAGAACUCCGAAGAUAAGCGUGCUUGGGUGAGAGUAGUACUAGGAUGGGUGACCUCGUGUUGCAUUCC
rnacentral:rRNA from 1 species